rnacentral:rRNA from 1 species
AGCAGCCGCGGUAAUUCCAGCUCCAAUAGCGUAUAUUAAAGUUGUUGCAGUUAAAAAGCUCGUAGUUGAAUUUCGGGAUCAGUUGGUCGGUCGUGCCUCGGUACGUACUGGUCAAAUUGAUUCCUACCUUCUGACGAACCACGAUGUCAUUAAUUUGGUGUCGCGGGAAAUCAGGACUGUUACUUUGAAAAAAUUAGAGUGUUUAAAGCAGGCUCGCGCUUGAAUACAUUAGCAUGGAAUAAUGAAAUAGGACGUUUGAUUCUAUUUUGUUGGUUUCUAGGAUCGACGUAAUGAUUAAUAGGGAUAGUUGGGGGCAUUAGUAUUCAAUUGUCAGAGGUGAAAUUCUUGGAUUUAUUGAAGACUAACUACUGCGAAAGCAUUUGCCAAGGAUGUUUUCAUUAAUCAAGAGCGAAAGUUAGGGGAUCGAAGACGAUCAGAUACCGUCGUAGU